rnacentral:rRNA from 1 species
CCUACGGGAGGCUGCAGUGAGGUAUAUUGGUCAAUGGACGAGAGUCUGAACCAGCCAAGUAGCGUGAAGGAUGACUGCCCUAUGGGUUGUAAACUUCUUUUAUAUGGGAAUAAAAUGUUCCACGUGUGGGAUUUUGUAUGUACCAUAUGAAUAAGGAUCGGCUAACUCCGUGCCAGCAGCCGCGGUAAUACGGAGGAUCCGAGCGUUAUCCGGAUUUAUUGGGUUUAAAGGGAGCGUAGGUGGAUUGUUAAGUCAGUUGUGAAAGUUUGCGGCUCAACCGUAAAAUUGCAGUUGAAACUGGCAGUCUUGAGUACAGUAGAGGUGGGCGGAAUUCGUGGUGUAGCGGUGAAAUGCUUAGAUAUCACGAAGAACUCCGAUUGCGAAGGCAGUUCACUGGACUGCAACUGACACUGAGGCUCGAAAGUGUGGGUAUCAAACAGGAUUAGAUACCCGAGUAGUC